AGAGUUUGAUCCUGGCUCAGAAUGAACGCUGGCGGCGUGCUUAACACAUGCAAGUCGUGCGCGAAGGUGGCUUCGGCCACCGGAGAGCGGCGAACGGGUGAGUAACACGUGGGUGAUCUGCCUGGAAGUGGGGGAUAACCUGGGGAAACUCGGGCUAACACCGCAUACGUUCUUUGGGAUACGUCCCAGAGAAGAAAACCGGCCUCUACUUGUAAGCUGGUGCUUCCAGAGGAGCCCGCGGCUGAUUAGCUAGUUGGUGAGGUAAUGGCUCACCAAGGCGACGAUCAGUAGCCGGCCUGAGAGGGUGAUCGGCCACACUGGGACUGAGGCACGGCCCAGACUCCUACGGGAGGCAGCAGUGGGGAAUAUUGGACAAUGGGCGCAAGCCUGAUCCAGCAACGCCGCGUGGAGGACGAAGGUCUUCGGAUCGUAAACUCCUGUCAGACGGGACGAAGGUGUGGGGGUAAAUAAUCCUUACGCUUUGACGGUACCGUCAGAGGAAGCCCCGGCUAACUCCGUGCCAGCAGCCGCGGUAAUACGGAGGGGGCGAGCGUUAUUCGGAAUUAUUGGGCGUAAAGGGCGCGUAGGCGGCUUGGCAAGUCAAAGGUGAAAUCCCUCGGCUCAACUGAGGAACUGCCUUUGAAACUGCCUGGCUUGAGGCCGGGAGGGGGUAGCGGAAUUCCCAGUGUAGCGGUGAAAUGCGUAGAUAUUGGGAGGAACACCAGUGGCGAAGGCGGCUACCUGGACCGGUUCUGAGCUGAUGCGCGAAAGCGUGGGUAGCAAACAGGAUUAGAUACCCUAGUAGUCC
rnacentral:rRNA from 1 species